rnacentral:piRNA from 1 species
UUGCCUUCACUCUAGAAAAGUCCCCUGUUU